rnacentral:rRNA from 1 species
CUUGGUCAUUUAGAGGAAGUAAAAGUCGUAACAAGGUCUCCGUUGGUGAACCAGCGGAGGGAUCAUUACUGAGUUGUAAAACUCCAAACCCACUGUGAACCUUACCUAAAUUAUAAAUGCUUCGGCGGGCAGCUCCAGGGCGGAGCUGUAGCCUGCAAAGGCGCCCGCCGGAGGUACCAAACCCUUCUAUAUUUUAGCGCUAUUCUGAGUCAAAAUAUAAUAAGUCAAAACUUCCAGCAACGGAUCUCUUGGUUCUGGCAUCGAUGAAGAACGCAGCGAAAUGCGAUAAGUAAUGUGAAUUGCAGAAUUCAGUGAAUCAUCGAAUCUUUGAACGCACAUUGCGCCCGCUAGUACUCUGGCGGGCAUGCCUGUUCGAGCGUCAUUUCAGCCCUCAAGCCCUGCUUGGUGAUGGGGCCCUACUAGUCUUGUAGGCCCUGAAAUCUAGUGGCGGCCUCGCUAUAAUCCCGAGCGCAGUAAAAUGCCUCGCUUAGGGUGUUAUAGUGGGAGCCCGCCGUAAAACCCCCCAUAUUUUACCAAGGUUGACCUCGGAUCAGGUAGGAAUACCCGCUGAACUUAAGCAUAUCAAUAAGCGGAGGA